UGGGACUUCAGUGGUUCCAGGACUGAUUUCACUGCCAUCACUUAUAUAUGGUUAGAUAUGGAUUCAACUUGUUUGCUGUGAGGGAUAGGUACCAAGUGCUAAGGAAACCUGCAGGGAUGAACAACCAGCCCAGCUUCGGAGGGCAGAGAAACCAGCCCAGCUUCGGAUGGCAGAGAAAGCUUCCUGAAAAAGAUGAUGCAGACUUCAAGCAUCAAAGUACACAAACUGAAGAAACUUUAUCCUUUGUAUAUAAUUAUCUUAAAUAUAUGCCAUCAUUUCAAGGGGAGCUUAUGCUAAGUGUGACUUCAUAAACAAAUCAUUUGUGAAAGAGAAAAACCAC